UAAAAAGGCAUUGGUAUUAUAAAAACCCACAGUUUUGUAUUUUGAGACUAACCACUAUUUCAUCUGAGAUUAGUCAUUCACAUUUUUCCUCUUGAUAUGUAAACAAAAUGUGCAGCAAGGGAGUCUUGGAUCUUGACAUUUUACAAUGACCUCCUGUGACUUCUCCAUUUCAUUGGGUCCACAACAGCAGAAGGGGGUGGACGGGUGGUUCUUCAGUCUGAGUACAAACAGACCACAGUCUUAUUGACUACAGCUUCCAUUGUUUGGGUACGAGAUAAUGCUGCAUAAGGACAACCAGACUGUUGGCGAGAUCUGAACUGUCCUCUCUGAGUUAUCAAAGUAAGGAGGAAAUGCCGUGGAGAGAAGACAACAGGAACUAUAAAUGCUGCUUAUAAUUGUUCACCUGGAAAUGUUCUUAAUUUGACAGGUUUGUGCACCACAUCCCUUAUGAUGUGUGAGAGGUUUCCUGCUGUGGUCCCUGCUCAGAAUCCAUCUGCUAUAAGACCAGGACACUCAAAUGAUUCUNGAAUCUGGACCCACAGAGAGAACGCGACGUUUCCUUUAUCGCCGGCGCCCGCGGGAUGGCGCUAUUUGAACAAGCAAUUACUUGUAAGACCGNAUCUUCUCGCCGUUACAGGCAGCAUUGACUGCAACAACGAAAAUGGUUGGUACAGUAGUACAGGACACGUUUUCAAGGGACCACCCGUUUACACCAUGGAGUGUCGUGAUUCGCUCCCUGUUGCCACAGAGGCUUCCGGAGUCACUGGGACGAACGACAGAUGCCGACGACGAGUCCAGCUCCACGUCCUGGGGUGGGAGUGUGAAAACUUGAGGAACACACUUAUGGGUUAAGGAGUUUGCUGGGAUCUCCUGCUCCGCGCCGGGGCGGGCCGGCGACAAAGGCCACUUCUUUCGUCCANUGGUUACGACGAGGCCAGAUAGAUUCUGAGGUCAAUAGGGAGUCUCGUCUCUGGCUGGAGGGUCUGCUCAUUUUCGCGACUGCCCUCCCUUGGCCCUCUCCACUCUGAGUCACAAGUUGCUCCAAGUUGCCGUCCUUGGAUGCCCGCAAAGGGUUACACCUCGGACGGACAUCUCAAUCAUUAAUUAUUUAAUAGGCACGGGGCUGGAGUGAUAUUGGCCGCUGGUGUAGGAUAAACUUCCAAGAAGGGGUGGUGGAGAGGUUUAUUUGGUGAGCCCCUUUAUUUCCCACUUCCAAUCCCGCCCCAGAACGUCAGGUUUUCGGUUUUGCUUUGCUUUCUGCUAUAUGAGAAAACAGACGGACUUUCUUUCUUCUCCUUCUCUUUUUAGUGUUUUUCGCAAAUGAAAGCGAAAGUCGUCGUCGUCGUCCUCUGGCGAACAGACAGCAAAGCUCCGCCAGGCUGAGCACAAAUGACCAAUACUGUACAUUCUCCCCCUUUACUCCGACGUCCUUUUGGCUAGAAGUGUAUGUCUAUGUCUCCUAGGCGGCUUCCCCUCAAAUGGUGGUCGCUAGAGCAGCCGUGGAUAUUUCUUCAUCCAAUAAACAUUGGAGAAGGGGCGGUGAGACA
ensembl:lncRNA